UACAGAGGGUGCGAGCGUUGUUCGGAAUUAUUGGGCGUAAAGCGCUUGUAGGCGGCUUGUUAAGUCGCGUGUGAAAUCCCCAGGCUCAACCUGGGAAGUGCGCGCGAAACUGGCGAGCUUGAAUGCCGGAGAGGGUCGCGGAAUUCCCGGUGUAGAGGUGAAAUUCGUAGAUAUCGGGAGGAACACCAGUGGCGAAGGCGGCGACCUGGACGACAUUGACGCUGAGACGCGAAAGCGUGGGGAGCAAACAGG
rnacentral:rRNA from 1 species